rnacentral:rRNA from 1 species
GAAUCAUCCACAAUGGACGAAAGUCUGAACCAGCCAUGCCGCGUGAAGGAUGACGGCCCUCUGGGUUGUAAACUUCUUUUAUGUGGGAAGAAAUGUCUCGAUUUUUCGGGACUUGACGGUACCAUAGGAAUACGCACCGGCUAACUCCGUGCCAGCAGCCGCGGUAAUACGGAGGGUGCAAGCGUUAUCCGGAUUUACUGGGUUUAAAGGGAGCGCAGGCGGAUUUGUAAGUCAGUGGUGAAAGCUCCGAGCUUAACUCGGGAACUGCCAUUGAUACUAUAAGUCUUGAAUGUUGUUGAGGUUUGCGGAAUGGGUCAUGUAGCGGUGAAAUGCAUAGAUAUGACCCGGAACACCUAUUGCGAAGGCAGCAGGCUAAACAAAUAUUGACGCUGAGGCUCGAAAGCGUGGGGAUCAAACAGG